GGAGGUACUGGGCUAGCGGAGUAGAACACCUGGUUAGGGGAGGUACUGGGCUAGCGGAGUAGAACACCUGGUUAGGGAGAGGUACUGGGCUAGCGGAGUAGAACACCUGGUUAGGGGAGGUACUGGCUAGCAGAGUAGAACACCUGGUUAGAGGAGGUACUGGCUAGCAGAGUAGAACACCUGGUUAGGGGAGGUGCUGGCUGAGGGGAGUAGAACACCUGGUUAGGGGGAGGUGCUGGGCUAGCAGAGUAGAACACCUGGUUAGGGGAGGUACUGGGCUAGCGGAGUAGAACACCUGGUUAGGGGAGGUACUGGCUAGCAGAGUAGAACACCUGGUUAGGGGAGGUGCUGGCUAGCAGAGUAGAACACCUGGUUAGGGGAGGUACUGGCUAGCAGAGUAGAACACCUGGUUAGGGGAGGUACUGGCUAGCAGAGUAGAACACCUGGUUAGGGGAGGUGCUGGCUAGCAGAGUAGAACACCUGGUUAGGGGAGGUACUGGCUAGCAGAGUAGAACACCUGGUUAGGGGAGGUACUGGCUAGCAGAGUAGAACACCUGGUUAGGGGAGGUACUGGCUAGCAGAGUAGAACACCUGGUUAGGGGAGGUGCUGGCUAGCGGAGUAGAACACCUGGUUAGGGGAGGUGCUGGCUAGCAGAGUAGAACACCUGGUUAGGGGAGGUGCUGGCUAGCAGAGUAGAACACCUGGUUAGGGGAGGUACUGGCUAGCAGAGUAGAACACCUGGUUAGGGGAGGUGCUGGCUAGCAGAGUAGAACACCUGGUUAGGGGAGGUGCUGGCUAGCAGAGUAGAACACCUGGUUAGGGGAGGUGCUGGCUAGCAGAGUAGAACACCUGGUUAGGG